CAUCUUAUGAUUUCCAUGCUUUGCUUAUAAUAGUUUCAGACAUAAAAUAUUUAUGUUUAGAAAUGGUUUGAUGCCUAAUGCCAAAUUUUUUAAUACUAUGACUAUGACCUAAAAUAAAUUUUAUAGGCUCUUAUUCUAUUCCAUCUUAUGACUAUGACCUAAAAUCUAAAAAUCAACUGUAAAAAAACAAUACGCGUUUUUAAUAAAUUUAUAGUUCCAUCAUUCUCGACGUUUUGGGAAUAAUAGAAAGGAUCAUAUCGAAUACGGUGAUCAGAACUGAUCUUUCUUCUUUUGCUUCAACACCUUUAUCUUUCUCCAAUCUCCACACCAGUUUCCAUCUAGAGAUCUUCAACUGCUAAUCCUGCAUCGUGAAGCAUAUGAUAUUUCGGGUUAAU
rnacentral:lncRNA from 1 species